rnacentral:misc_RNA from 1 species
CCUGCGCGGCCCCCUGAGG